rnacentral:rRNA from 1 species
GACGAACGCUGGCGGCGUGCCUAAUACAUGCAAGUAGAACGCACAGUUUAUACCGUAGCUUGCUACACCAUAGACUGUGAGUUGCGAACGGGUGAGUAACGCGUAGGUAACCUGCCUGGUAGCGGGGGAUAACUAUUGGAAACGAUAGCUAAUACCGCAUAAUAUUCAUUAUUGCAUGAUAAUUAAUUGAAAGGUGCAAUUGCACCACUACCAGAUGGACCUGCGUUGUAUUAGCUAGUAGGGGAGGUAACGGCUCACCUAGGCGACGAUACAUAGCCGACCUGAGAGGGUGAUCGGCCACACUGGGACGGAGACACGGCCCAGACUCCUACGGGAGGCAGCAGUAGGGAAUCUUCGGCAAUGGACGAAAGUCUGACCGAGCAACGCCGCGUGAGUGAAGAAGGGUUUCGGAUCGUAAAGCUCUGUUGUAAGAGAAGAACGGGUGUGAGAGUGGAAAGUUCACACUGUGACGGUAUCUUACCAGAAAGGGACGGCUAACUACGUG